rnacentral:rRNA from 1 species
GAUAAGGUUAAGUGAAUAAGGGCGCACGGUGGAUGCCUUGGCACUAGGAGCCGAUGAAGGACGGGACUAACACCGAUAUGCUUUGGGGAGCUGUACGUAAGCUAUGAUCCAGAGAUUUCCGAAU